rnacentral:sRNA from 1 species
UGGGUGAGGAGAGCAAAACUCCAUCUCAAAACAACAACAACAAAAGAUGAGGAGCCUCCAUCAUUGAAGCUGGGACCUCAGAAAGUUAUAAAAAUAAUAAAGCAAAAUUGUACUGGCAUGGGAUAGGUUUCCUAAAUCAUGAAAUGCCUCCAGAUAUUAUUCUUCAGCCGGAUGUCUACCCUGGAAAGUGCUGGGCUUUUCCAGGUUCCCAGGGUCAUACCCUAAUCAAGCUUGCUACAAAGAUCAUACCAACUGCUGUUACCAUGGAGCACAUCUCAGAGAAGGUGUCUCCCUCAGGAAACAUCUACAGUGCACCCAAGGAAUUUUCUGUCUAUGUACAGGGGUAUAUAUGCAGGUUUGUUAUAUAGGCAGGCAUCACAAAAAAAUGUGAAGGAGAAGAAAUUUUCCUAGGUCAGUUUAUAUAUAACAAAACAGGAACCACCGUUCAAACAUUUGAACUCCAGCAUGCAGUUUCUGAAUAUUUAUUAUGUGUGAAACUUAAUAUCUUUAGCAACUGGGGACACCCGAAGUAUACUUGUUUAUAUCGAUUCAGGGUCCACGGCACACCAGGCAAGCAUAUCUAGAAGAGUUGGUACAGAAGGCCAUGCCACAUGUCCAGAAUAUUCAAGAAUGCUUAUUCUCUUAGAUGAUACCGCACCCAUAGGAAUUGAGAAUUGGGAGUAGGAAGAAAACCUCAAAGUGGUUCAUACUUGCCUGUAAAAAGUAAAUGCAUUUUAUUAAUAAAAAAUAUGGAAGUAAAUUAAA